rnacentral:tRNA from 1 species
AUCUGGCUGGCUCAGUCAGUAGAGCAUGUGACUCUUGAUCUCAAAGUUGCAAGUUAAAGCCCUAUGUUGGGUA